UUGAAGUUGUGGAAUAUUUACUAAUCUGGUA
rnacentral:piRNA from 1 species